AAACUUAAGAGUUUGAUCCUGGCUCAGAACGAACGCUGGCGGCAGGCCUAACACAUGCAAGUCGAACGGACCCUUCGGGGUUAGUGGCGCACGGGUGCGGAACACGUGGGAAUGUACCCUUGGGUAAGGAAUAAUAUCUGGAAACGGAUACUAAUACCUUAUAAUGACUUCGGUCCAAAGAUUUAUCGCCCAAGGAUCAGCCCGCGUCUGAUUAGUUUGUUGGUGGGGUAAUGGCCUACCAAGACUACGAUCAGUAGGGGGUCUGAGAGGAUGAUCCCCCACACUGGUACUGAGACACGGACCAGACUCCUACGGGAGGCAGCAGUGAGGAAUAUUGCACAAUGGAGGAAACUCUGAUGCAGCCAUGCCGCGUGAGUGAAGAAGGCCUUAGGGUUGUAAAGCUCUUUCAAUUGUGAAGAUUAUGACGGUAGCAAUAGAAGAAGCCCCGGCUAAAUUCGUGCCAGCAGCCGCGGUAAUACGAAUGGGGCAAGCGUUGUUCGGAAUCACUGGGCUUAAAGCGUGCGCAGGCGGACUUGAAAGUCAGAAGUGAAAUCCCGGGGCUCAACCCCGGAACUGCUUUUGAAACUCCAAGUCUAGAAUUCAGUAGAGGUUAGGAGAAUUCCGAGUGUAGAGGUGAAAUUCGCAGAUAUUCGGAGGAAUACCAGUGGCGUAGGCGCCUAACUGGACUGAUAUUGACGCUCAUGUACGAAAGCGUGGGGAGCAAACAGGAUUAGAUACCCUGGUAGUCCACGCCGUAAACGAUGUGUGCUAGUUGUCGGAACCUUAAGGUUUCGGUGACGUAGGGAAACCAUUAAGCACACCGCCUGGGGAGUACGGCCGCAAGGUUAAAACUCAAAGGAAUUGACGGGGACCCGCACAAGCGGUGGAGCAUGUUCUUUAAUUCGAAGCAACGCGAAGAACCUUACCCACACUUGACAUCCUUCUUGGGGCAUUCAGAGAUGAUUGCUUUCGGUUCGGCCGGGGAAGUGACAGGUGCUGCAUGGCU
rnacentral:rRNA from 1 species